rnacentral:rRNA from 1 species
UACGUAGGGAGCAAGCGUUAUCCGGAUUUAUUGGGUGUAAAGGGUACGUAGACGGAGAAGCAAGUUAGUUGUGAAAUCCCUCGGCUUAACUGAGGAACUGCAACUAAAACUACUUCCCUUGAGUACUGGAGAGGAAAGUGGAAUUCCUAGUGUAGCGGUGAAAUGCGUAGAUAUUAGGAGGAACACCAGUGGCGAAGGCGACUUUCUGGACAGUAACUGACGUUGAGGCACGAAAGUGUGGGGAGCAAACAGG